rnacentral:rRNA from 1 species
GAUGAACGCUGGCGGCGUGCCUAAUACAUGCAAGUCGAGCGAACAGAUGAGGAGCUUGCUCCGUUGACGUUAGGGGCGGACGGGUAAGUUACACGUGGAUAACCUACCUAGGAGACUGGGAUAACUUCGGGAAACCGGAGACAGUACCGGAUAAGAUAGUGAACGGCAGGGUUCAAUAGUGAAAGGCGGCUUUGCUGUGACUUGUAGGUGGAACCGAGCCGGAUUAGCUAGUUGGUAAGGUAACGGCUUACCAAGGCAACGAUCCGUAGCCGACCUGAGAGGGUGAUCGGCCACACUGGAACUGAGACACGGUCCAGACUCCUACGGGAGGCAGCAGUAGGGAAUCUUCCGCAAUGGGCGAAAGCCUGACGGAGCAACGCCGCGUGAGUGAUGAAGGUCUUCGGAUCGUAAAACUCUUUUAUCAGGGAAGAACAAAUGUGUAAGUAACUGUGCACAUCUUGACGGUACCUGCUCAGAAAGCCCCGGCUAACUACGUG